rnacentral:tRNA from 1 species
GGUAGCGUGGCCGAGCGGUCCAAGGCGCUGGUUUAAGGCACCAGUAUCUUCGGGGGCAUGGGUUCGAAUCCCAUCGCUGCCA